rnacentral:lncRNA from 1 species
GCGGGCCACCGGGUCCGGGUCACCACCGGGGCUGGGUCAGUCGGUACCUUCAUGAAGGUCUCUACCGCGCCUUUGGCCGUGUCCAGAUCAUAAUAGUGAUACUGAGAACAACAACAACAAAAUUAACAAGCAUAAAAUUGGAUAUGAAAUUAAACAAGGUUGCAAUUGCUGCAAGGCUUUUUGUAUGACUCGGAACUGUUUGCAAUCACCUCCUCCCUCUCCAGGAGCUAUGGAGCAAAUGAAUGGAGCUAGAAAAUACGUCAUCCUGAGCAAGGUAACCCAGACCAAAAGACAAUUAUGCUCUGGGGCUCACAUGUGUUAGCUGAGCACCUGCCACUGAACCCUCAGCCUCAGAUACUGUUAACUAAGGCACAGCAGAGGUAAAGGUGAAGUGUUUUCCUAAGGCUCUAAGGUGUCCCAGGCUCCAGUGAAAGUUUUGAGGGAGGGAAAGUGGUCUCUCUACUUCAUGAAGUCAGAGCAGAUCACACCUACAACGAGGAGAACACAAUUUGGAUGAAGAGGAAACAAGAACAAAAGCUGUCACAGAGAGUUAAGGGGAGUGACUGCAAAGUGUGGAGCCAGUGACUUGGCCACACUUUGAUGAAGUGGCUGCGGGUCUUCUCUUCAUUGUUUACACAGCCAUUAGAGCAUCUUCUCACGGAAACCAUUUGACUCUGCAGUGUUGCUGCUUUGAGCUGACAGAGGAUGGAAAGUGGUCCCUGCAAUGAGAACAGGGUCUGCUGCGGAGACACAGAAAGUUCUUAAAGUAUUUGGUCACCUUAGGAUGUGACAUUAUCUAUUAUUGCUUUGAAAAGACUACAGUAGCUGUUCUGUGGGUGGCUUGGAGAGAACAAGGCUGGACCAGUGAGAAACUC